UCGAAAUCGCUAGAAUCGCGGAUCAGCAUGCCGCGGUGAAUACGUUCCCGGGCCUUGUACACACCGCCCGUCACACCAUGAGAGUUUGUAACACCCAAAGCCGGUGAGAUAACCUUCGGGAGUCAGCCGUCUAAGGUGGGACAGAUGAUUAGGGUGAAGUCGUAACAAGGUAGCCGUAGGAGAACCUGCGGCUGGAUCACCUCCUUU
rnacentral:rRNA from 1 species